AAUUCCAACUGGCGACUCUAACAGUCAAAUCGUUGACAUAUACAUGUCGGACCUUUUCAUAACUUAUUUUUUCAAACAAAUCUCACCUAACAUGAGAACACCAAAAUACAAGAACAGAAAGGGAAAAAUAAAAAUCCCGACAUAGAUAGGUGGCGACUCUGCUGAGGACAUCCAGUAAGAGGGCUUAAGCUGCUAUUAAAAGCUUUUUCAAAACUUUUAUCUGCUUGUGUGUGGAUGUUGCAUUUACAUUUGAAUGAAUGUGUACUAAUGCAUUUACUUACUACACUUAGUGCUUCGCACUAUAUCUGCCUGUGAUAUUAGUGCUUCGUAAAUGUCAUCAUUUCCAUAUGGUGAGACGCGAU
rnacentral:lncRNA from 1 species